rfam:Heligmosomoides polygyrus genome assembly, scaffold: HPBE_scaffold0004555
GCGCUGGUGGUGUAAUGGCGUACGGCAUUCCCGCCCGGUUAGAGGGAGAUGCGGGUUCGAGUCCCGCCGGGCGCU